rnacentral:rRNA from 1 species
AGCUCCAAGAGCAUAUAUUAAAGUUGUUGCAGUUAAAAAGCUCGUAGUUGGACUUCUGGUUUAAUGCACCUGGCCCGCGGCCGCAAGGCCUGUGAGUGCCGGCGCGCGUUUACCAUCCUUCUAGAAAACGGGUCUUCCCUUAACUGGGCCGGAUUCGGGAUCUAGAUCAUUUACUUUGAAAAAAUUAGAGUGUUUAAAGCAGGCUUUUGCUAUGAAUACAUUAGCAUGGAAUAAUAAUCUAGGACUUCGGUUCUAUUUUGUUGGUUUCUAUGACUGAAGUAAUGAUUGAUAGGGAUAGUUGGGGGUGCUAGUAUUGGCCGGUCAGAGGUGAAAUUCUUGGAUUCGGUCAAGACUAACUUAUGCGAAAGCAUUCACCAAGGAUGUCUUCU